GGGUUGUGAGGUUAAGCGACUAAGCGUACACGGUGGAUGCCCUGGCAGUCAGAGGCGAUGAAGGACGUGCUAAUCUGCGAUAAGCGUCGGUAAGGUGAUAUGAACCGUUAUAACCGGCGAUUUCCGAAUGGGGAAACCCAGUGUGUUUCGACACACUAUCAUUAACUGAAUCCAUAGGUUAAUGAGGCGAACCGGGGGAACUGAAACAUCUAAGUACCCCGAGGAAAAGAAAUCAACCGAGAUUCCCCCAGUAGCGGCGAGCGAACGGGGAGCAGCCCAGAGCCUGAAUCAGUGUGUGUGUUAGUGGAAGCGUCUGGAAAGGCGCGCGAUACAGGGUGACAGCCCCGUACACAAAAAUGCACAUGCUGUGAGCUCGAUGAGUAGGGCGGGACACGUGGUAUCCUGUCUGAAUAUGGGGGGACCAUCCUCCAAGGCUAAAUACUCCUGACUGACCGAUAGUGAACCAGUACCGUGAGGGAAAGGCGAAAAGAACCCCGGCGAGGGGAGUGAAAAAGAACCUGAAACCGUGUACGUACAAGCAGUGGGAGCCUCUUUAUGGGGUGACUGCGUACCUUUUGUAUAAUGGGUCAGCGACUUAUAUUCUGUAGCAAGGUUAACCGAAUAGGGGAGCCGAAGGGAAACCGAGUCUUAACUGGGCGUUAAGUUGCAGGGUAUAGACCCGAAACCCGGUGAUCUAGCCAUGGGCAGGUUGAAGGUUGGGUAACACUAACUGGAGGACCGAACCGACUAAUGUUGAAAAAUUAGCGGAUGACUUGUGGCUGGGGGUGAAAGGCCAAUCAAACCGGGAGAUAGCUGGUUCUCCCCGAAAGCUAUUUAGGUAGCGCCUCGUGAAUUCAUCUCCGGGGGUAGAGCACUGUUUCGGCAAGGGGGUCAUCCCGACUUACCAACCCGAUGCAAACUGCGAAUACCGGAGAAUGUUAUCACGGGAGACACACGGCGGGUGCUAACGUCCGUCGUGAAGAGGGAAACAACCCAGACCGCCAGCUAAGGUCCCAAAGUCAUGGUUAAGUGGGAAACGAUGUGGGAAGGCCCAGACAGCCAGGAUGUUGGCUUAGAAGCAGCCAUCAUUUAAAGAAAGCGUAAUAGCUCACUGGUCGAGUCGGCCUGCGCGGAAGAUGUAACGGGGCUAAACCAUGCACCGAAGCUGCGGCAGCGACGCUUAUGCGUUGUUGGGUAGGGGAGCGUUCUGUAAGCCUGUGAAGGUGUGCUGUGAGGCAUGCUGGAGGUAUCAGAAGUGCGAAUGCUGACAUAAGUAACGAUAAAGCGGGUGAAAAGCCCGCUCGCCGGAAGACCAAGGGUUCCUGUCCAACGUUAAUCGGGGCAGGGUGAGUCGACCCCUAAGGCGAGGCCGAAAGGCGUAGUCGAUGGGAAACAGGUUAAUAUUCCUGUACUUGGUGUUACUGCGAAGGGGGGACGGAGAAGGCUAUGUUGGCCGGGCGACGGUUGUCCCGGUUUAAGCGUGUAGGCUGAUUUUCCAGGCAAAUCCGGAAAAUCAAGGCUGAGGCGUGAUGACGAGGCACUACGGUGCUGAAGCAACAAAUGCCCUGCUUCCAGGAAAAGCCUCUAAGCAUCAGGUAACAUCAAAUCGUACCCCAAACCGACACAGGUGGUCAGGUAGAGAAUACCAAGGCGCUUGAGAGAACUCGGGUGAAGGAACUAGGCAAAAUGGUGCCGUAACUUCGGGAGAAGGCACGCUGAUAUGUAGGUGAAGUCCCUCGCGGAUGGAGCUGAAAUCAGUCGAAGAUACCAGCUGGCUGCAACUGUUUAUUAAAAACACAGCACUGUGCAAACACGAAAGUGGACGUAUACGGUGUGACGCCUGCCCGGUGCCGGAAGGUUAAUUGAUGGGGUCAGCGCAAGCGAAGCUCUUGAUCGAAGCCCCGGUAAACGGCGGCCGUAACUAUAACGGUCCUAAGGUAGCGAAAUUCCUUGUCGGGUAAGUUCCGACCUGCACGAAUGGCGUAAUGAUGGCCAGGCUGUCUCCACCCGAGACUCAGUGAAAUUGAACUCGCUGUGAAGAUGCAGUGUACCCGCGGCAAGACGGAAAGACCCCGUGAACCUUUACUAUAGCUUGACACUGAACAUUGAGCCUUGAUGUGUAGGAUAGGUGGGAGGCUUAGAAGUGUGGACGCCAGUCUGCAUGGAGCCGGCCUUGAAAUACCACCCUUUAAUGUUUGAUGUUCUAACGUGGACCCGUAAUCCGGGUUGCGGACAGUGUCUGGUGGGUAGUUUGACUGGGGCGGUCUCCUCCUAAAGAGUAACGGAGGAGCACGAAGGUUGGCUAAUCCUGGUCGGACAUCAGGAGGUUAGUGCAAUGGCAUAAGCCAGCUUGACUGCGAGCGUGACGGCGCGAGCAGGUGCGAAAGCAGGUCAUAGUGAUCCGGUGGUUCUGAAUGGAAGGGCCAUCGCUCAACGGAUAAAAGGUACUCCGGGGAUAACAGGCUGAUACCGCCCAAGAGUUCAUAUCGACGGCGGUGUUUGGCACCUCGAUGUCGGCUCAUCACAUCCUGGGGCUGAAGUAGGUCCCAAGGGUAUGGCUGUUCGCCAUUUAAAGUGGUACGCGAGCUGGGUUUAGAACGUCGUGAGACAGUUCGGUCCCUAUCUGCCGUGGGCGCUGGAGAACUGAGGGGGGCUGCUCCUAGUACGAGAGGACCGGAGUGGACGCAUCACUGGUGUUCGGGUUGUCAUGCCAAUGGCACUGCCCGGUAGCUAAAUGCGGAAGAGAUAAGUGCUGAAAGCAUCUAAGCACGAAACUUGCCCCGAGAUGAGUUCUCCCUGACUCCUUGAGAGUCCUGAAGGAACGUUGAAGACGACGACGUUGAUAGGCCGGGUGUGUAAGCGCAGCGAUGCGUUGAGCUAACCGGUACUAAUGAACCGUGAGGCUUAACCUUACAACGCCGAAGGUGUUU
rnacentral:rRNA from 1 species